CAGGUGGAUCUGAGAGGAUCUGAGAGGAUCAGAUGGAUCUGAGAGGAUAUGAGAAGAUCUGGGAGGAUCUGAGAGGAUCUGGGAGGAUCAGGUGGAUCUGAGAGGAUCUGGGAGGAUCUGGGAGGAUCAGGUGGAUCUGAGAGGAUCUGGGAGGAUCAGGUGGAUCUGAGAGGAUCUGAGAGGAUCUGGGAGGAUCAGGUGGAUCUGAGAGGAUCUGGGAGGAUCAGGUGGAUCUGAGAGGAUCUGGGAGGAUCAGGUGGAUCUGAGAGGAUCUGAGAGGAUAUGAGAGGAUCUGAGAG